UACAGAGGUCCCGAGCGUUGUUCGGAUUCACUGGGCGUAAAGGGUGCGUAGGUGGUGGGGCAAGUUUGAUGUGAAAUCUCCGGGCUUAACCCGGAAAAUGCAUUGAAUACUGCCUGGCUUGAGGUUUGGAGGGGGGGGACUGGAAUUCUCGGUGUAGCAGUGAAAUGCGUAGAUAUCGAGAGGAACACCAGUGGCGAAGGCGAGUCCCUGGACAACACCUGACACUGAGGCACGAAAGCUAGGGGAGCAAACAGG
rnacentral:rRNA from 1 species